GAAACAAAUUAAGUCUCAGCCCAUAUCAUGCUUUAUCUCUCGCGUGAAUCUCUCUCUCUCCGUUUCAUCUUCCGGCGAUCAAACAUGGUGGCAAAAAAAACGGUCACGCCUUCUACACAAAACCAAUCCAGUUCAAAGACAUACCAAACGCCACCGUCUCUUCCGUCUCCACCACCUUCGUCUUCGCCAUAUACUCCCAGAUCCCCACUCUAAGCGGCCAUGGAAUCGUCUUCGUCGUCUCUCCAUCCCAUAGCCUCACUUCCGCACUCCCAAUCAAGUCAAUACAUCGGUCUCUUCAACAACUCAAACAACGGUAACGAAACGAACCACGUCUUCACUGUCGAGUUCGACACGAUCCAAAGCAACGAGUUCGGAGAUCCGAACGAUAACCACGACGGAAUCGAUAUAAACGGUUUAAGAUCGUUUGAGUACUCAGCCGCUGAGUACUGGAACGAGAGAGAUGCAAGGUUUUGGUGUUGGACACAUGCGUGAUACCAAAACAAAAGGUUUAACCUUUUUGGUUGGAAUCCACUUUAACUGUUGUGAACAUGGAUUUGGGUUUGGGUAUGGGGAACACCACUAGAGAUAGAGCUUGACGGUGUAAAAACUUCCAUUAUAUUACCCCGACACUGAAGGAUUCGAAAGCGUUGGAAAGUCUACUGUUUAUGACGACUCUUUGAACAUUUAGACAUUUUGUUUGAUGAUGCUUUGGAUAUCUAAUCAACUGUUUUUGCUGAUUUUUUUUCAGAAUAUUUGCUCGAGCAACGGUGAUGACUUCAGUGCUGAUUAAUAAUCUGCCUGAAACUGUAAGUUGACCUGCCUCGGUCUUUUUCUUAUGGUUCUAAAAACAGUAUACUUAUGACCCAAGAAUGUAGAACCUGGUAUCCAAUGAUCUAUAUGUACUUCAUCAGAGUAUGUAUCCGACUUAUGAAUAAACAUAAUUUAGCUAUUUAUUUUGUCUUAUUUAUCUUCCCUGCAGCUAAUUGUGGCUUUGAGAAUUCAUUUUCUAUUUUAAAUGCUUUUUAAACUGGUGUUUGAUGAUUAUCUGUCUCACAUUGUUUUUGUUUCU